AGAGUUGAUCAUGGCUCAGGAUGAACGCUGGCGGCGUGCCUAACACAUGCAAGUCGAACGGGAACUCCGAGAUGAAGUUCGAUGGAUUCUUGGAAAUUCUAGUGGCGGACGGGUGAGUAACGCGUGGGUAACCUGCCCUUAAGAGGUGAAUAACAGCGAGAAAUCGCUGCUAAUACACCAUAUGCUUACAAGUAUCGCAUGAUAUAGUGAGGAAAGAAAUUCGCUUAAGGAUGGACCCGCGUUUGAUUAGCCAGUUGGCAGGGUAACGGCCUACCAAAGCAACGAUCAAUAGCCGGCCUGAGAGGGUGAACGGCCACAUUGGAACUGAGACACGGUCCAAACUCCUACGGGAGGCAGCAGUGGGGAGUAUUGCACAAUGGGCGCAAGCCUGAUGCCAGCAACGCCGCGUGAGUGAAGAAGUAUUUCGGUAUGUAAAGCUCUAUCGAUGGGGAAUAAGAUGAAGGUACCCAAGUAAGAAGCCCCGGCUAACUACGUGCCAGCAGCUGC
rnacentral:rRNA from 1 species